UCCGGUGUCGAUGCGCCUAGGGGAAACACCCGUACCCAUCCCGAACACGCAGGUUAAGACCUGGGCGGCCGAUGAUACUAUGCUGGAGACGGCAUGGGAAAGCAGGUGGAUGCCGGAU
rnacentral:rRNA from 1 species